AUUGAACGCUGGCGGCAGGCCUAACACAUGCAAGUCGAGCGGAUGAGUGGAGCUUGCUCCAUGAUUCAGCGGCGGACGGGUGAGUAAUGCCUAGGAAUCUGCCUGGUAGUGGGGGACAACGUUUCGAAAGGAACGCUAAUACCGCAUACGUCCUACGGGAGAAAGUGGGGGAUCUUCGGACCUCACGCUAUCAGAUGAGCCUAGGUCGGAUUAGCUGGUUGGUGAGGUAAAGGCUCACCAAGGCGACGAUCCGUAACUGGUCUGAGAGGAUGAUCAGUCACACUGGAACUGAGACACGGUCCAGACUCCUACGGGAGGCAUCAGUGGGGAAUAUUGGACAAUGGGCGAAAGCCUGAUCCAGCCAUGCCGCGUGUGUGAAGAAGGUCUUCGGAUUGUAAAGCACUUUAAGUUGGGAGGAAGGGCAGUAAGUUAAUACCUUGCUGUUUUGACGUUACCAACAGAAUAAGCACCGGCUAACUUCGUGCCAGCAGCCGCCGUAAAAC
rnacentral:rRNA from 1 species